UACACUGUGAUGAUAUGUUUUGGUAUAUAUUUAUAUUGGUCAUCUAUAGGCAUUAUGAACGCAAUGUCUUGAUAAGCACUCUGGCUUUGCUUGACUUCACUCAAAUUCAACUUCAGCACAUAAGCUUCAGCCCUGGAGGCUUCUCUUCUCCUGCUGUGAAGAUCAUGGGAACAUGAGUUGAUUCAGAGGUGUCAGAAGAUCAAAGUAGCCUGGAGUGCUGAGCCAACACAUGGAAGACAGCUGCCCUGGAGAGUUGCCCAGACAUGCAGGGGGCUAUGUAUGAAAUAUUUCCAUGGUGAUGUGUGAUCUCAGGAGACAAGAGAUCUUCGCUAAGAGGAAUGAUCUACUAAUGAUGGACCAGGAGACCCUUGGGCAUAUUGAAGAAGGUGUCAUUUGGAGAUAAGGCAGUAUUUCCAUGCUCUCUAAUCAUACCAUGAUUGUGUCUGGCCAGAUAUCUGUAUACAAAAACAUAUAAAAAGCACAAUUUUGGAAAGUACAGAAGCUGGAAGACCCAGUCUCUUGGUUCCUCCUUUAACGCUUUCUAAAUAUCAUCAACAUGGCAAUCUUUUUUGAUGACUCAUUGUGUCAUCAAUAUACCUUCUGUUUUUAAUUUUGUAUAGUACUGUCCUCCUUAGUAAUAUUCUUUGUCCUUUACAUGCUGGGAUCUAAGUUUUAAUGUAUGAUUUUAUUAUUAUCAGGCACAUAGGUGGAAAAUGAGAGCAUCACAGGUUAAAUCCAAGUCCUCUGGAGAAUAGAUACACAUCACUUUGAGCUCACCAUUGCAGUCAAGGACCCAUUUAAACAUACUUCCUCCGCAACUGUCUUCCUUGAAAGUUUCCAAUGUGAACUAUUACCUUUUUUCAUCCUUAUUCUUACACAGAACACAGUAAACCUGUUUUCCAGUGUUCUCCUGGUCCAACCAAGAUCUGUCUCUUGGUGUUUAGGCCCCAGCAGUUUGUUCCCAGGGCUUCAGUUUUGUUCUUUAGCAUGUGUUGGAAGUGGCCUGACAUGGCUUCCAAGGUCAGGUCAUGAGAAGUCUGACAUCUUCCUCAGCCUCUAGAAUCACUGCUUCUUAGAACGCAUCCUAAAAAAAAGGCAUUUGUCCAUCCAAGACUAUGAGCUUCUGAGGAACUGCAAGAAGCCCAUGAAGAUGACAAGUUGAAGCAGGCAGAUGCCUGAGCUGCUACAACCAUUGUUAGCUCAAUCUGUAGAAGCAACAUAGACAGGAAAAGAAAGGAAACCCUCUGCUUGUCCUAGAUGACUCCGGCCAUCUCUAACUGCCGUCUUGCAGGAACUGUCUGAAACCCACCAGGUAGGAAUCACCCUGUGAGACAGUCAAACCACACACCCCCAGUUAAGUGAUACUAGACCACUUGAUUUUAGGUAACUAAGGUUUUGGGAGGCUCAUUUUACCUUGAUAAAUAUUUGGAGCUGAAACGUGCCUUGUAGGCCCUUCUCCACAGGCUGAUUUUGUGUUGCUGCUAUACUCUUUAUUUCUUAAUUAACAAUUUAUACACUUAGCUCAUUGAUACCAUGAUAACCGAUACCGUAAGAAUUUGGAGGACUUUUUUCCCCAUCUAAAAUGAGAACUGCCCCAUCUUCAUUUUGUACUUGGGGCAUAGCAGGAUGUCAACAAAUGUUCCUUUAUCGAUAUUGCUAAGCUAUUUGAAGUUGGGAACUACAUAACUCCCACCAACAUAUCUAGCCUGCCAGCGUUUGCUAUCUCCCACAAUGCCUCUGUUUAUGGCUGACUUCUGAGGGUGUUUACUCUUCAUCUGCCUCAUCACCUGCUUGGUCUAACCUGAAUGCCUCUUUAACUCCCUUUGUAGUCUGUUUUCUACAACUCCCUACCUUGCAUAGUCCACAAGCCCCAAGACAUUAGCAGCUAAAGUUUAGCCUGAGAGGGCUGGACACAUUAAUCUGAAUAUUUAAUCAUCCUGUUCUCUGUAGUAGGGACAUCCUCCUUCAUUGGGUCCAUUCAACUUUGUGAAGAUCUUCAGCGGAAUCUAGCUAAGAGACAUCCUUAAGCCUUCCCCAUUCCGGCCCAUGGCCCCUUUUCUUGGAUUCCUGUGACCUCUUGAGUCCUUUUCCCUCAGUGUGUUAAUGCUCUGACCACUGGCUAUUAGGUCUCAGCCAGUAAGCCUUGCAAGAUUGGAGACUAUAGCCUACUUAACUUUGCCUUACUUGCACAGUAAAUGACACAGGCAUGGUGAUCAAUAAAUGAGUGUGGGGUGAUUGAACGCAUUUUACAAGGAAAGAACAAUCAUGGGUGAGAUAAGACAUAAACACAAGGCUGAGUCCUUUGUCACCGAAAAGUGCUGUUGAUGUACCGUGGACACUCAGUUCCAUGGCUGCUCCUGCCUGUCUCUUGCCUUUCAUCUUUCUCCACACAGCCAACAGCCAUUCUUCUAAUCAAUGCGGCUGCCUGUCUUGGAACCCUCUCUAGUUUGUACUUUUUUUUUUGUCCUGAGAUGCCUGAAGCCUCUUCAUGUUCAGCCCAAAAAUAGCUCUGACCUUUCAGCUGCUGUGUCACCUGGCAGCUCAUAUCUGAUUUCCGUUUGCAAGAACCGGGCUGCCCGGCUUUUAGCAUUUCUGCUGUCCAGGUUUCUCUUGCUGCUUGCUGGGUUACUGAUUGUGUUUUUCCCUCAGAGAAUCUGGUUUCCACUUUUUUUUUCCUGAUUUGAACUCUGUCUGACUGUUUAUUUCUUUCCCCCAAGCAUUCAAUGGUGCGUGAUGGUGGCUUGAGGUUGGGGGGAAGACAGGGUCGGGAAAUGGGAAAGGCUAUUGCUUGGUGAUUUUUCUUUUGUGGGGGAGCCCACCUAAGACCUGGAAAAUAGUGCUAUGUGAGCUUAUUCUGCUCUCUUUCCCUCCCAGGACAAACUGUCCCCAGCUGCUUUUUCAGACUUCACACAGGGAAAGGGAAGUGAUUUGUUGUACUGGGGUUUCGGGUUAUUGGUUUCUUUCUUCUUUGU
rnacentral:sRNA from 1 species